GUUGCGGCUCAGGGGAAAAGUGCUCGCCUGGCAUGCGUGAGGCACUGAGUUCAAUUCCCAGCACCACA
rnacentral:tRNA from 1 species